rnacentral:lncRNA from 1 species
AGUCCUUGGGCACCCUAUGUACCCCCGAAUUGAUAGGUAGCCAACCUGGCGGGAGUCGGCGGUGGAAGUACCCGCUUGGUACGGCUAAACACUUCUCUUUCUUCAAUUUGGUAUAGCUUCAGCCUUUUCGUGCCCCCUUUGAUCCGACCUGAGACCUCAUUUAGAGAGAUUGGCUUCGUAGCCUACAGUACUGUGAUCUCGAAAUGUAUUGGAUG